ACUGCUGUACGGGCUGGGAGGUGCGGUUAUACGUAGGGGGCAAGCGUGGUCCGGGUUUAUUGGGCGUAAAGCGCGUGUCGGAGGCUUUGCAAGUCCGUUGUGAAACCUCGAGGCUCAACCUCGAGACGCCGGUGGAAACUGCAAAGCUAGAGUCCGGAAGAGGAGAGUGGAAUUCCUGGUGUAGCGGUGAAAUGCGCAGAUAUCAGGAAGAACACCCGUGGCGAAGGCGGCUCUCUGGGACGGUACUGACGCUGAGACGCGAAAGCGUGGGGAGCGAACAGGAUUAGAUACCCCUGUAGUC
rnacentral:rRNA from 1 species